GACGAACGCUGGCGGCGUGCCUAAUACAUGCAAGUCGAACGAACCGCGACUAGGUGCUUGCACUUGGUCAAGGUGAGUGGCGAACGGGUGAGUAACACGUGGGUAACCUACCUCAUAGUGGGGGAUAACAGUCGGAAACGACUGCUAAUACCGCAUAGGACAUGGAAUUACAUGAUUCAGUGAGGAAAGGUGGCGCAAGCUAUCGCUAAGAGAUGGACCCGCGGUGCAUUAGCUAGUUGGUAGGGUAAGGGCCUACCAAGGCGAUGAUGCAUAGCCGACCUGAGAGGGUGAUCGGCCACAUUGGGACUGAGACACGGCCCAAACUCCUACGGGAGGCAGCAGUAGGGAAUCUUCCGCAAUGGACGCAAGUCUGACGGAGCAACGCCGCGUGAGUGAAGAAGGUCUUCGGAUCGUAAAGCUCUGUUGUUAGAGAAGAACAGCGCAUAGAGUAACU
rnacentral:rRNA from 1 species